rnacentral:rRNA from 1 species
CCUACGGGUGGCAGCAGUGGGGAAUAUUGCACAAUGGAGGGAACCCUGAUGCAGCGACGCCGCGUGGGUGAGGAAGUACUUCGGUAUGUAAAGCCCUAUCAGCAGGGAAGAAAAUGACGGUACCUGACUAAGAAGCACCGGCUAACUACGUGCCAGCAGCCGCGGUAAUAAGUAGGGGGCAAGCGUUAUCCGGAUUUACUGGGUGUAAAGGGCGCGUCAGCGGCGUGCCAAGUCUGGUGGGAAAGGCCGGGGGUCAACCCCGGGAGUGCAGUGGAAACUGGCAUGCUGGAGUGCCGGAGGGGCAAGCGGAAUGCGUAGUGUAGCGGUGAAAUGCGUAGAUAUUAGGAGGAACACCGGUGGCGAAGGCGGCUUGCUGGACGGUAACUGACGUUGAGGCUCGAAAGCGUGGGGAGCAAACAGGAUUAGAUACCCCUGUAGUC